ACCCAUGCACGCGCCUGGCUGGUUCCAUUCAUCGCGAUGCUUGCAGCGUCCUUGGGUGCCGGCUGGGAUUGCGAUGAACUGAAGUUCUGAUCAGGUGGCGGUGCGCUGGGAGCGCCGGCUGUCGGUGGCCUACUUCCUGCUGGGCUGGAAUGCCAUUCUUGGCAUCGGCUACAUUUGGUACCGGCAGCGGCAGGCACGCGAGACCACCGGCGACGGCAGGAUCGACAGAAUCAACCGCAUCAAGCGUCUUAUGAGCGCCUCACAGUCUGAUACGGUCCGCGUUCUGGAGUAUCGCGGCCUGACGCGAGUCGCCGACGAAGCCCUGGACAUCUCGGACGGGAAGAGCCGGCACCUGCGCCCGCCCGGCCACGGCUCCGACCAAUAGUCCGCCCAAAUACAGACGUUUGGUGCGUGGUGUGUGUCUGUAUCCCGGUGUCUCCACACUCCCUGUCCGCGAUCGCGUGCAGUGCUUUAUCUGAUCGUUCCUAUACGUCCUUCCGCGCGGGGUCGCGAUGCGGCUGCUGCGCGCGCUGUGCUGCCGCGCGCCGCUGCCGUCGGCGCUGUACGUGUCCGGCCGCGCCGCUGACCGCGUCGUCUCCGUGCUGCGGCCGUGCCUCGACGACGCGCUGCAGUCUGCGUAUGCGGACGCGCUGCGCGAGAGCGUGCGCCGCCGCGGCUGGCACGAGGACGUGGACGCGCUCGUGCGCGACCACCACCGGCUGGAAAUGCUCACCGCCGAGAAGGCCGAGCUGACGCGGCAACGCGCUGAGA
rnacentral:misc_RNA from 1 species